UACGGAGGGUGCAAGCGUUGCUCGGAAUUAUUGGGCGUAAAGGGCAGGUAGGUGGUCUCAUUUGUCUGGGGUGAAAGCCUUGAGCUUAACUCAAGAAGUGCCCCGGAAACGGUGAGACUAGAGUUCUGGAGAGGGUCGUGGAAUUCCCGGUGUAGCGGUGAAAUGCGUAGAGAUCGGGAGGAACACCAGAGGCGAAGGCGGCGACCUGGACAGAUACUGACACUCAACUGCGAAAGCGUGGGGAGCAAACAGG
rnacentral:rRNA from 1 species